rnacentral:lncRNA from 1 species
AUAAAAUUCGUAUAAAUCACACGCUAACUUAUUUUGUCAAUUCUGCAUCCAUGACUGGUUGAUUUCAUCAACCUUAUGCGCUAUACUAAAAAAUUCUAUGUAUUUGAUAGCGAAAAUCCCAUAGCCGCCCUUGCAAAUAAACAAAUAUGUGUUAGUUCGGUUCUAACUACGUACGAACCGAUUACUAAAUUAAAAAAAAAAAAAGAUUACAAAAACUUACGAUAUAGACUAUCUCGCCAUCGUCGUGUCCCGCACGAUGGCUAGUUUUUCAUCCACGAUAAAGCCCACAUGCCUAGCCAUCAUAGGAACAAUCACAGUCACCGGCUCUAAGUUCUGCUCGAGCUGUCCCUGUGUCAGACAUGAAUGAUCGAGGUCGUACACAUAUAUCGUCGAAUCAAGGAACUCGAUCUCCAGUGCAAUGCAGUUCUGAUUCACGAUCACUGGAAUGUAUAAAUGCAUACAACCCUCCCAUGACUUUCCCUCAACACUCAGUGACAACCUGAUGACCCACUCGAGCAUAUACGUGGGAAGUACAUACUCGUUACCUAGAAACUGGAGCGACUGAUACUCAAUGGUAACGACACGGAAGAACACGGUGUUCAGUAUUAUGCGACCAGACUUGUGGAAUGAUUGUGGAUAUCUCUCAACUCGAUCGUGCAACAAGUCUAUGGCCA